rnacentral:rRNA from 1 species
GACGAACGCUGGCGGCGUGCUUAACACAUGCAAGUCGAACGGAAAGGCCCCUUUGGGGGUACUCGAGUGGCGAACGGGUGAGUAACACGUGAGUAACCUGCCCUUGACUUCGGGAUAACUUCAGGAAACUGGGGCUAAUACCGGAUAGGAAUCCUUGCUGCAUGGUGGGGGUUGGAAAGCUUCGGGGGUUUUGGAUGGACUCGCGGGUUAUCAGCUUGUUGGUGGGGUAGUGGCUUACCAAGGCUUUUAGGGGUAGCCGGCCUGAGGGGGCGACCGGCGAUAUUGGGACUGAGGGGGGGCCGAGCCCCGGAGGGGGGGGGAAUGGGGGAAAGUUUGCAGGAGGGGCGGGGCGCGAGUGAAGAAGGGCGGCGGGGGGGAAAACGGUCUUGGGGUUGAAAACCGAUUGAGGAAGGGGCGAUGCUUGUGGUGACGGUACCUGAAGAGAAAGCCCCGGCUAACUACGUG